UCCUGUCAUUAGCAGCCCCAACUUAGAUAGGAGUCUCAGCCAAGUUCAGUGGUGGCUGACUUCUUCUGAGCAAUACCCAGGACGGCAGAAAUGUAGCACCGCCCCGAGCUGGGGUCUGGAGUUGGCGGCACAUGGUGAUCACAGUGCCCAGACCAGCCCGUGGGGCUGCUGUGAAGAUCAAGUGGGUGCUGAGCUCGGCGCCUGAAUUAGGAGGACGUUUGGACACAGACACGCACAGAGGGAAGACAUAGGGAAAGACCACCUGCAAACCAAGGACAGAGGCCUCAGAAGGAACCAAGCCUGCUGGUACCUCGACUUCCACCGACUUCUAGCCUUCCAAGCUGAGGAAAUAAAUGUCUGUUGUUUGAGUCCCCCAGUCCAUGCUAUUCGUCCUGGCCGCCCGAGCAGAUGGAGACGGGGGCAUAGUGAGAGGUACAGAAAGGCACCAGGCCCACAGGUCACGGCCACACACCUCUCGGCAGGCUCCUAUAUUCUCCACCUCUCGUCUCCCACCGGCAGCCCCUGAGGCUUCAAGAGCAGCCUGCCUUCUUCUCCCCUUGGACACAGGCGAUGGGCGGGAGAGAGAAACAGGCCUUGGGAACAAAGGGGUUCUGCCCUCUUCCCACUUCCUUCACGUGUGCUGGGACGCGGGUCAAGUCCUGGUUCUGGCACCUGUUGGAGAAGUCCCGUCACCUCUGUGUCUCGGUUUGUCUCUCUGUGAAAUGGCUCAGCUGACUCCUCAUGUCCCUGCCUGCCUCCAACUCAUCGUAAAAUGCAAGUCAAGUAGCAUUUGUGAAAUCGCUUUGUAAGACUGAAGCCUCAUAUCAAUGUAAUAAGAGCCAGCAAUGGGGUCUUUACCAUUAUUUGGCAUUCUUCUCCGUGUUUCACAUACAUUUCUCAUUUCAUCUUUACAACAGCUCUGUGAGCUUGGCCCUGUAAUUCCCCAUUUUAUAGAUGGGAAAACUGAGGACAAGGAGAUUAAGUAAUUUGCCCAAGACUCCCAGUAAGCUGUGGGGCUGGGAUUCGCCUCCAUGGGUCGAACACGGGUGCUCACACCCUUCAUCAUGUUCUUUAGCUGCCUAUCCGAUACAGUAGCCCGAGGGCCCUCAUAUGUGGCCAAUGUGACAGAGGAACUGAGUAUGUAAUCUAAUUAAAUUUUACCUAAUUGAAAUUAAAAUCUAGAUAGCUCCAUGUGGCUUCUGGCUACCAUAUUAGACAGGCACAGCACCAGGCUACUGCCUCCUGAUUGAGAGGCUCAUGCGACAUUUCAGAUGGCAUGCAGGUGAGUGAGGAGGGGAUUCUCCAGACCCCCACAGCUACUAAGCCAUGUUGCAAUGCACUGCUCCUGGCCUUAAACCCAGGCUUCAAGCCAGCCCAGGCUCUUCCCUGCUGGGCCUGUAGAGAACAGGCUGCCCGCUCGUGAGGAAAGGGGAUUUUUCUGCUGCAGACACCAGACCUCCCAUUUCUCCGAUGGGUCGUGGCAGGGGAGGUUGAGCACCCUUCCUUACUCCCCUUACCCCUCACCCUUUCAGGCCCUGAGUUCUGCUGAGCCAGCAAGAGCGAGAAAAGCCAGAGGGGAAGCAGAGCCCAAGCUGCUUCCCUUCCUCUCUGGGCUGGAAGCUGAGCUGGCCAGCAUUCAAGGCUUAAUUAGCUGAAAUAACGGAAUAAUAAUCUUUAAAAUCAUAGUGGUAAAGCUCAGGCCGCGCUAUUUCUGAUCAUUCAGCCACGUGGCCAUGAGCAUCCCAUUACCAGCUUGGCUGUGCCGAGUUGGCCAGGCUGAGCAGGAUGACUCCAGUGUGCCCUGUUGGGGCUCUCCCCCUGUGAUUUUCUGCGUGAUGGGAGAGGCCAGGUUCAACGUCUUUGGGGGCCUGGCUUGGCAUCUGUGGGACGGAGACGGUACCCACCGAGUGGGACAGUUGUGAGCAAUCAGUGAGAGGCUUUGCAGACCAGAAGAUACUCCCAAAGAACUACAGUUGGCCAGGUGGCACGGACGUCCCAGACAAAGGGACACUGGUACUUGCUGCUGAGUGACCUUGGGCAUGGCACGUCAUGUCUUGCAAGUCUGCUUCCUUCUCUGGAAAACGGAGAACACCCAUCUCUGAGGGCUCUCCGGGAGUAUUGAGGGAGCACGUGUGCAAGCAACGCUGGGCCCAAGUGCCCAGCACACAGCGGAUGCUCCCCAGAUGUCACUUUCCCCCUCUUUGGGGUUUCUCCCGUCUUUCUGCUGGAUCUUUGGAGACCUUCCUAGUUUGCGAUGAGAGGGAAGGACUUGGUCAGGAGGUUGGAAGGAGCUGAUGUUCUAGAAAUAGUUCUCUCCCCUAAUACCUACCAACACUUUUCUGGGUGGUGUGGAGUUUCGGGGUGCCAGGGCCUUUGAGGUUUAGGAAGAGAGCAGAAGAGGCACUGAGCAAGCCCCUUUCGAAGACCUGUCGCGCGCGUUCUUCCCUAGAACCCAGGCGAGGGAAAGGCCUCCAAAGCCAACAAGUUAUUUUCCAUAGAACUAUUAGGUUGGAGGAUACCAUUUUUCUAGGUCAAAAGUUGGCCGAAUAUAAGCAAGACAUGUGAAAUAAAUAAGGCCACUUGACUCGACUUUAAUAAUGUGCUGCUUCUAUGCAUCUAUUUAAGGACGUGAGAAAAAAAAAGUAUAAAUGCUUUAAUAAUGAGAUUUAAAUAGCCUGUCAAAGCACAAGAAAGAGAGAGGUCGUCAGGCAGGAUCUAACUGAUUGCCAAAUAAUUUAUAAGAAAAUGAUGAGUUCAGGAUUUGAGAAGAGGGAGAGGCUACUCCUGAGUAAAUGGGGUGAUGGGCAGAUUAGCAGACGGUGAUGGGGUUUCCGUUUGUGUCUGGAAGGAGGGUUAGCAGCUUCAAUAGGGCAGAGAGAGGGGUCGGAAUGAUGAGAAACAUCAUGACCAAGGUCUGGGGACUCAAUCCCCUGGGCAGGGAGACCAUGUCUGGUAAACUUUUCUGCACCUAACACGGUCCCCGUGACAGAGUGGGUACCAAUAUACAUUGGAUAAAAGAAUGAAUGAAUGAGCAGAGGGAAAAUGUGUGGAGAUGAGUGAGCAGAUCAGUUGUUGGGGGGGCGGGUCAGCGGGAGAUAAAGCUGUCAAGUUUGGUGGUGGGGAGUUCUGAACACAGACAAAGGAGUUUGGGUAGCACUCAGAGGAGACAAGAGUUCCCCACUGUGAAUGCAACAAAUACAUAUUAUGUGUCAAGUUAGUUCUAGAGGUGAGGGAAAAGCCCUAGAGCAUCUCCUAAUUCGCUGCUUUUGAGUUGAUGUGGUCCUGGAAAACAGAGGUCACUCUGACUAGUCCAAAUAAGGUGGAUGACAUUGCAGUCACAAACAACUUUAGAAUCCCAGUGGAUUAAAGCAACGAAGCUUUGUCUCUUGCACAUGCUGUAGUUCCGGCUUGGCUGGAGCAUUACCCCAUGGUAUCUUCAUCUCAGGAUCUGGCUGAUAGGGCGGACUGUAUCUGGGACAUUACUGCUUUAGUAACAGAGGAAAAUAAACCCUGGUAAGCCAUGUGCUGGGUCUCACAGCUUCUGCUUAGAAGUGACACAUUUCCUGGCUGAAGCAAGUCAGAUGGCCAAGCCAGAUGUCAGUGGGGUGGGGAAGCCUAAUUCCUCCUUCCCAGUAAAUCAAAUUGAACAAUAAAAGGGCCAUAGUUUCUUACUGAAAUUCUGUGUAAGGUAAGAGUAAGCGGGCCAGGGAGAUAGAUAAUAAUAGUAGGGAGAGAGAUGAUCUGGGGAUUCAUUCUUGGGUUAAUUUAAAUCUGAAUUUUGUAAUUCCCCCUCCGAGUCUUAGCUGAAUAGAAGCCACUUUUAUGUGUGUAGCCAUUCUUGGUCAGGUUCUGGAUAGUUCUUUAUAGGGUGGGACAGGUUACCUAAUUUGUGGGACCCAGUGCCAGAUGAAAACGUGGAACCCCUUGUUCAAAAAUCAUUAAGAAUUUCCAGACACUAAUCAGAGAAAGACAUGUAUCAUAUGACCUCACUGAUAUGAGGAAUUCUUAAUCUCAGGAAACAAACUGAGGG